GCAUAUCAAUAAGCGGAGGAAAAGAAACCAACAGGGAUUGCCCUAGUAACGGCGAGUGAAGCGGCAACAGCUCAAAUUUGAAAUCUGGCGUCUUCGGCGUCCGAGUUGUAAUUUGCAGAGGGCGCUUUGGUAUUGGCAGCGGUCCAAGUUCCUUGGAACAGGACGUCACAGAGGGUGAGAAUCCCGUACGUGGUCGCUAGCCUUUACCGUGUAAAGCCCCUUCGACGAGUCGAGUUGUUUGGGAAUGCAGCUCUAAAUGGGAGGUAAAUUUCUUCUAAAGCUAAAUACUGGCCAGAGACCGAUAGCGCACAAGUAGAGUGAUCGAAAGAUGAAAAGCACUUUGGAAAGAGAGUUAAAAAGCACGUGAAAUUGUUGAAAGGGAAGCGCUUGCAGCCAGACUUGCCUGUAGUUGCUCAUCCGGGUUUCUACCCGGUGCACUCUUCUAUAGGCAGGCCAGCAUCAGUUUGGGCGGUUGGAUAAAGGUCUCUGUCAUGUACCUCCUUUCGGGGAGAACUUAUAGGGGAGACGACAUGCAACCAGCCUGGACUGAGGUCCGCGCAUCUGCUAGGAUGCUGGCGUAAUGGCUGUAAGCGGCCCGUCUUGAAACACGGACCAAGGAGUCUAACAUCUAUGCGAGUGUUUGGGUGUCAAGCCCGAACGCGUAAUGAAAGUGAACGGAGGUGGGAACCUUUCGGGGUGCACCAUCGACCGAUCCUGAUGUCUUCGGAUGGAUUUGAGUAAGAGCAUAGCUGUUGGGACCCGAAAGAUGGUGAACUAUGCUUGAAUAGGGUGAAGCCAGAGGAAACUCUGGUGGAGGCUCGCAGCGGUUCUGACGUGCAAAUCGAUCGUCAAAUUUGGGCAUAGGGGCGAAAGACUAAUCGAACUAUCUAGUAGCUGGUUCCUGCGA
rnacentral:rRNA from 1 species